AUUGAGAAAUUUGAGAAGGAGGCUGCUGAGUUGGGAAAGGGCUUCAUCAAGUAGCCCUGGGUCUUGGAUAAAUUGAAGGUGAAUGUGUGCAAGGUAUCACCACUGAUAUCUCCAUGUAGAAAUUUGAGAACAGUAA